AGCGAACGCUGGCGGCAGGCUUAACACAUGCAAGUCGAACGGGCGUAGCAAUACGUCAGUGGCAGACGGGUGAGUAACGCGUGGGAACGUACCUUUUGGUUCGGAACAACCCAGGGAAACUUGGGCUAAUACCGGAUAAGCCCUUACGGGGAAAGAUUUAUCGCCGAAAGAUCGGCCCGCGUCUGAUUAGCUAGUUGGUGUGGUAACGGCGCACCAAGGCGACGAUCAGUAGCUGGUCUGAGAGGAUGAUCAGCCACAUUGGGACUGAGACACGGCCCAAACUCCUACGGGAGGCAGCAGUGGGGAAUAUUGGACAAUGGGCGCAAGCCUGAUCCAGCCAUGCCGCGUGAGUGAUGAAGGCCCUAGGGUUGUAAAGCUCUUUUGUGCGGGAAGAUAAUGACGGUACCGCAAGAAUACG
rnacentral:rRNA from 1 species